rnacentral:rRNA from 1 species
UACAGAGGGGGCAAGCGUUGUUCGGAAUUACUGGGCGUAAAGGGCGCGUAGGUGGCCUUCUAAGUUGAACGUGAAAUCCCUGGGCUCAACCCAGGAACUGCGUCCAAGACUGGGAGGCUUGAAUCCGGGAGAGGGAUGCGGAAUUCCAGGUGUAGCGGUGAAAUGCGUAGAUAUCUGGAGGAAUACCGGUGGCGAAGGCGGCAUCCUGGACCGGCAUUGACGCUGAGGCGCGAAAGCCAGGGGAGCAAACGGG